rnacentral:tRNA from 2 species
GCCUCUAUGGCACAGGGGUAAUGCGUGUCACUCGUACAGCGAUUAAGCUUGCGGUGUAAUGACAAGAUCCGCGGUUCGAUUCCGCGUGGAGGCA